GACGAACGCUGGCGGCGUGCUUAACACAUGCAAGUCGAACGGAAAGGCCCUGCUUUUGUGGGGUGCUCGAGUGGCGAACGGGUGAGUAACACGUGAGUAACCUGCCCUUGACUUUGGGAUAACUUCAGGAAACUGGGGCUAAUACCGGAUAUGAGCUCCUGCUGCAUGGUGGGGGUUGGAAAGUUUCGGCGGUUGGGGAUGGACUCGCGGCUUAUCAGCUUGUUGGUGGGGUAGUGGCUUACCAAGGCUUUGACGGGUAGCCGGCCUGAGAGGGUGACCGGCCACAUUGGGACUGAGAUACGGCCCAGACGCCUACGGGAGGCAGCAGUGGGGAAUAUUGCACAAUGGGCGGAAGCCUGAUGCAGCAACGCCGCGUGCGGGAUGACGGCCUUCGGGUUGUAAACCGCUUUCGCCUGUGACGAAGCGUGAGUGACGGUAAUGGGUAAAGAAGCACCGGCUAACUACGUG
rnacentral:rRNA from 1 species